UGUGCCAGCAGCCGCGGUAAUACGUAGGUGGCAAGCGUUAUCCGGAAUUAUUGGGCGUAAAGCGCGCGUAGGCGGUUUUUUAAGUCUGAUGUGAAAGCCCACGGCUCAACCGUGGAGGGUCAUUGGAAACUGGAAAACUUGAGUGCAGAAGAGGAAAGUGGAAUUCCAUGUGUAGCGGUGAAAUGCGCAGAGAUAUGGAGGAACACCAGUGGCGAAGGCGACUUUCUGGUCUGUAACUGACGCUGAUGUGCGAAAGCGUGGGGAUCAAACAGGAUUAGAUACCCUGGUAGUCCACGCCGUAAACGAUGAGUGCUAAGUGUUAGGGGGUUUCCGCCCCUUAGUGCUGCAGCUAACGCAUAAGCA
rnacentral:rRNA from 1 species